UACGAAGGGGGCUAGCGUUGUUCGGAAUCACUGGGCGUAAAGCGUACGUAGGCGGAUCGUUAAGUCAGGGGUGAAAUCCCGAGGCUCAACCUCGGAACUGCCUUUGAUACUGGCUAUCUUGAGUUCGGGAGAGGUGAGUGGAAUGCCGAGUGUAGAGGUGAAAUUCGUAGAUAUUCGGCGGAACACCAGUGGCGAAGGCGACUCACUGGCCCGAUACUGACGCUGAGGCGCGAAAGCGUGGGGAGCAAACAGG
rnacentral:rRNA from 1 species